rnacentral:lncRNA from 1 species
GUCGCUCAGUCGUGUCGGACUCUUAGCGACCCCAUGGACUGAAGCCUACUAGACUCCUCCGUCCAUGGGAUUUUCCAGGCAAGAGUACUGGAGUGGGGUGCCAUUGCCUUCUCUGUCUGCUUACUUAGUAGGUACUUAAAUAAUUCUUGCUGUAUGAAUGAACCAGAUAACCUCUUGGGUCCGUCUUUCCUCUGAAAUUCCUGGAGGAUGAAAAGCCUAGAACAACCAGGGGUUAGCUACUCCGCGCUUCUUUGAUGCAGCUGCAUCUGGAACCUGAAAUCGCUUCUCGGCUGGAAGAUGGUGUUGAACACUAAUUGGCCGCAGCUGCUUUAUUGGCAAAGGGACGAAAACACACACAGAUUCUGACAACUUUUAUUCCAUGGAACUGUAAAGGAUCUUGUACCUGCAUAGAUGGCAUAAAAACAGGUAAAAUUGCCUUUGAAUCACAUUAUGUUAGAUGCAUUACAACCCAAGGAGUAGACAUAAUCCAACACUAAAAUCAUUUUAAUAAAAGCUUAGGUCUCUUUGAGAUUUUAUUUCCU